UACGUAGGGUCCGAGCGUUGUCCGGAAUUAUUGGGCGUAAAGGGCUCGUAGGCGGUCUGUUGCGUCGGGAGUGAAAACUUACAGCUUAACUGUGAGCGUGCUUCCGAUACGGGCAGACUUGAGGUAUUCAGGGGAGAACGGAAUUCCUGGUGUAGCGGUGAAAUGCGCAGAUAUCAGGAGGAACACCAAUGGCGAAGGCAGCUCUCUGGGACGGUACUGACGCUGAGACGCGAAAGCGUGGGGAGCGAACAGG
rnacentral:rRNA from 1 species